CACGGUUGACUGGCGAACUUGCGUUGUCUGGAUUUAGCGCUUUGUUCUCAGCUAAUCUUUGUAACGAACUACAGUAUCAGUCCCUGUCCUCUGGCCAGUUCUGGUCUGCGCCUUCCUGCGCCGCACUUGCCGUACUGCACUACAGGACGAGCACUUAAUCAACAUGCAUUGCUUAAACGUCAUCGCGUGAUCCGUACUCCCUACUAACUUAUUGUGGGGAAGGCCAUUGCGUCUGCGACCACACUCCCGCGGUACCCAAACCCUUCAAAGACAACUCCGAUCAGCCCCAACACACACCGCGGAGCGGUCUCUCCCCCCCCACAUACUUCCCAGGUGGUACCCUGGGUCCUCUCGCUCACCAGCCCCUCCUCUCCUUGGCCCUUGUGACAUCUGCCAGGCGUUCUUGCUGCACAGGCCGGUAUUUCAGAAAACAAGGAAAGUACAUCAGAUGAAUGCAGAGGCGCAGCUUGCCCUCCUUUCCCACCACUCGCAGGCCGU
rnacentral:lncRNA from 1 species